rnacentral:pre_miRNA from 1 species
ACAUCUUUCAACGGAUGUCAACAUCCGUUUAAGGAAAAACGGAUGUCGACAUCCGUUUUACCUUAAACAGAUGUUGACAUCCUUUGAAGAUGUCAA